CAUUUUCUGGUUGAUAAUCGUCCUACCUGAUAGUACGAGAUUGUUCCUAUAUCGAAAUAAGCUCGUCGCUACAGGCAGAAUGAAAGAAAGCCAUUGAUCGGUCC
rnacentral:pre_miRNA from 1 species